AAGAGUUGAUCCUGAGAUAAAGAAAUGCAUAAGCAGAGAUAUAUUUUCGUAAAAUGGUAAAAGCUGGAAAUGGCACUCAGCCAAUUGGAAAGCCCGAAAUACCCCGCGUAUCAUGGCCCAUUAAGGUCCUCAGUCUUGCAUCUCUGGAGUGGCGACCCCUUUGUUUCUUUGCUCAUGUAAAUAUUGAAGUACUUUGGCUCCUGAUGGUUGAUUAAAAGAUUACUGCAGAAGAGUCACCAAAGCAUAAAGAAGAGCCAACAAACAAAAGAAAAGUUUAUUUGCGUAACUUGUCAGGAAUUUGCUCUUUGAAGCAGCUUGAUUGGAAAAUGAAUAAUCUUGUAAUAACCAUGUAUUAUUUAAAUACAAAUAAUUCCGACCAACACGAGAGACAUGAUUUCCAGGUUAGAGCUGCAGCUCACUGAACCAUAAAGCAAAAUCAAAUAAUCAGUACCAAUUUACCUGCUGGACUGCAGACGAUUGUGUAAAAUGGUUAAAUGUACAAUUUAACGGGAGGGAAUGCACCAUAAUGAAAUCGGCAAAUAUGCUUACGUGACUUCAAUUUAAUUUUUCCACUUUUUCUCCUUUUUUUAUGGGUGCAGCUGCAGUUGGAAGUUCUAAUUAGACACACACACACACACUCAAUAAUGGGAUGAGGGCGGCAAAAGGGUGUGGUGAAGAUGGAGGGAGCUACGGAAAGUAAAUGCAAAAUGCAUACCCACACAAUAUCGGAUGCACAAUCGGAAUAAAAUGAAUAAAAGGAAAGUAUUUAGUGCGUUGAAAUGCACGGGAACGAAACCGAUUUUCAUCUCUGUCCCUAGAUCAUCAAUAGAAUAAAUUAUAACUUGUGGACCCAAAAACUGUCAAAAAAAUCUCGUCUCAUAUUCCGAGGAAACCUUUUCAUAACGUAUUUAAACAAGUACAUUUAAGAAAAUAGAUACACAACAAUUAAAAUAUUUACAAAACAAAUCUCUCUGUAACGUUGUUUGUAAAACUGCAUAAAUUCAAACGAAGUUAUUGAUAAGAAGACAUUGAAACCAUAAAAAUAUGAAGCCUAUUAAGCAGCUUUAAUCAAGUAAUAACCUCAUCUUUUAUCAAGAAUAAAACUACAAAUAAACCCCAAGAUGAUUUUAUUCACAAGUUGAUGAUAAUAAUGUGCUUUCUGCUCAAUGUUUUUCUCAUUCAAUUACUGCAAAUUUACAUGGAGCUUGCCAGUUUAUCCCAGUGUUAAUUAAGCUAAACAAUUAUUACAAUUAUCUUAAAUUCAGGCUUUGUUAACUUUUUUUCUACGUGCUCAUUGCGUUAUAUGUAUACGUAAUAUGUUUCCCAUAAACGAAGGAAUGUGAGUAAAUGCGAGAAUGAUUGCAAAAUUUAUUGAUUAAUUAAUUGUAAUGUUAUGGGUGAGCCCCAACUGGGCCCCAACUCCCAUCAUCGCAUCAUACCCAUCGAUUCCACUCCCAGUCCAUUGUCCGUUACGGUCUGAGCCCAUCAGACUGAGUGAUUUGCCUCGACGCGCUUUUCAUAAUAACAAAACAAUAAAUAAGUAAAUAAAAGAGUGCAUAAAAAGAGAGAGAAUAAUAAACAAGGUGACAAAGACGAGAGCUCUCUUCAAUAUUUAUGCCAGGGCAGACAGGCUCCGAAAGCCAGAAAGCGAAAACUUACUAUAUAAAUUGGACAUGAUGUAUGUAAAUACGUUGUACAUAAUGAAUUACUUGACCGGCAUACCGGAUACGCAUUUUAAAUUUGUUUUAUUUUUGUGUCCCUCUAUCUACAUUUGUGUGUAUGUGCAUAAUGUGACGCUACGGACUGUAAGCCUCGCAACCCCCACUUAGUUUCAAUCUGUCUACGCUCAUGCCCAAAUGAGUAAGCUCCAGAGGUAUUUAUUAUAGAACAAAUUUCAUAUAAAAAGUAUGGACAGUAGGUACUCGUGAGUGACUAAGUAGAACUAUUGAAACAAACAGGAGUGCCUCGACUAGCAGUUACCUAUUUCAUAACAUUUCAUUUGCAAACAUACAGCAUUGAUUGUAGAUCAAAUCAAGGAGCAUAUGACUGACAUUGAAUGAAUCAAAGUUGUAGGCAGUGAGUAAUAGGCAGAUGUUAUUCACUUGUCUUAUUUCGUUUUGCCGACCAAUAAUGGAACCUUAAGUACAUUUCAUAUCAUAUUAAGAAUAAACCGCAUGCGCUACUAAAAUUGGUUUUCAUGCGAAUCAUGAACAGAAUCGGAAAAACCUAGGCACAUGUGUGCUCAGUGAGUCAAUCAACCACGUAAUAUUUAUUUCUGCUAAUCUAUUAUAUCAUUUUAAAACAAUAUUGUGAAUACUUCAAAGGAUUUUUAUAAGCCAAACAAAUGCAGUUUCCCUUCUAAGAACUUUGGAUGUAUUUGUUAGUUCGGCGAUGAAAAAAACCGAGUGUGAAAAUUUUCUAAAUGAACGUGCGUAACACAAUGACUUGUUUACCGAUAAAGAGAGUUUAGGAGAGUCUGACUAAUCACUUUCCUCAGUUUCCGGCACGAUUUAUUAUCCCUUGGAAUAAUUUAAGAUCUACCUAAUCAACAGAUUUCCUUUGAAUAACUUAACUAUCUUGCAUUAAAUUCCCAUGAACUCUGAAGUCGAUUACGAUUUAUCCACUCUUUUCCGCAAAAAAACAGAUGGUCUAUGUUUUUAUCAUUAGUGGUUUUUUUUCGCUAUGCUCUUUUUUUGCCGACCGCAAAGGAAGUGAACAGCAAAGAUAAACUUAUGUUAUGUUUGCCCUACGAGGCAGAUAAAGGGGUUCACAUAAUGUGGAAGCCUCAUUUUUUCUGCAGCGUCCGAUAGAUAAAGAAAAUCCAAAUGGACAAUGCGUUUAACAAAGCCAUGAAUGUACGGCCAUUGAAUGCAUCGAGGGCUGCCAUUAGAGUUCAAAUAAAGUUUAAAACUUAAUACUCAUUAAAUACAGCACCCCCUUCUACUAUACAAAAAAAGGGAAAAGUACAUAAAAUACAUUUUCAAAAUGUUAUUAAAGGUUCAAAAAGUAAGCAUAAAUGUUUUCAUUAAAACAAUGAAACCUGCCCUCGCAUGGGCCAAGAUUGCUUAACAAAGUUAACAACAAUAACUUCUGUGGUUCACUGCCUUGCGGUUUGUCAGCCAUUGGCAAAGUCAUUAGGAAAGGCAGCUUACCCUGAAUCACCUCACCUUAACUACGCCCCUGCAGGCAAUUGUUUAUAGAUAUUGAUUCUAGGCCCAAGACUCUUAAGCAACGAAGUUAAAGCGAGUGAAAGUUGACUAGCUUGAGAAAGCUGGUAAGCGAUCGGGGAUGAGGAUUCGAUGCGGUUUAGUCUUUGUGUCUCUCUGUCUCACUGUAUUUAUGUCAAUUUAUGUGAAUAAUGACACCCACAACAUAAACCGCAAGAUAAGUCUCUUGAAAGUCAAAACUUUCAAUAAUGCAAUCACAUUAACGUUUUUAUUCAUUUGUAUUUGCAGCCGGCUCUCUGACGUUGCAAUAAAUACACUUUUACUUUCAAUUGAAUAGACCAUGGAGAUUUUAUUGGCCUGAUGCCAAUUUUAAUGCAAUUAAAGUGAAUUAAAAAAACAAACACAGUUAAACUGUUGCGACUGUGGUAUUCAUCUGUAAGCAAAAGAAGUACAAUAAAUAUCACAGCUGGAAUCGGGAGUAUUAUCAACCAAAAGUUUCACUGCCUAGCCUCCAUCAUGAAAGUUUAAUAAACCCAAGCGCCAGAGCUUAAAGAGGCUGGAUUCAAAAAAAUUAAGAACAAAAUUGCAAAAAAUCGAAGGAACUGUAAUUUAACCGGAAACACAUGCAGCAACUGCGUCUGAUUAGAUCCAGCCAAGGGCGAAUUAUUAGCGGCCACAUUGUCGGAUUGUUGUUAUUUUUAAACUAUGAAUCAGACAAACAACAAUUGCUGUCGAUCGGAAGCCGACUGCACGGACAUUGGCGCAUUGGAUCUGCCAGUCUCCGGUCCGUCCAGUCAAGUCAAACCAAGUCAAGUCAAGUCAAGUCCCCUUCAGUGGCAAUGGGCCCGCGAGCAGCACUUUUGCCUAAAUUAAGGUAAACACGAAUUAAGGCAAGCCGGAGACACAAGGCAAGGGCGAGGCCACCUCCAGCACCUCCAGCAGUUCCAGCACCUUCACAACGCCACUGAAAUGGCAAACAAACACAAUAUCGAGGGGCGAAAAAUGAAAAACAUAACAGCCAUAGGUAAACAGACGAAAACACACACUUUGAGUGCGAAAAGAAGGCAAUGAAUUUUGAACAAACAAUAGACCCAGAAUAGCAAAUGCUAUCUAAGGUCUGUCGAUAUGCGGAAUACCCUUGAAUUAUCAUAUAUUGGAUUAGAAAUUGACAACGGAAUGAGCAUUUGGGUUCAUGUUAGAUUAGGUGGGUUAACAGGAAUAUCGAAAUACAGAUACAUAUAAUAAUCUAUACAUAUAGAUCUUUGACAUAGUGAUAUAUUGGAAACCUUUUAUGUCUGCGAUAACAAUUGUUUAAAAGAUUUUACUAUAUCUAUUAAAGAUAAUAAAUUCAAAAACAAAUUUAUAACCUAAAACGUUAUGCUUAGUUAUAUUUAAAUCCUUUUAAUAACUAAUAUUCUAUACCAUAUUUACUUGCUUUGCGCGAAUUCUGUAUGGAACCGAUUCUUAUUAUAUUAGGUAUAUAGCAAACCCAUCCUUAUAAUUCUUAAUGGCUUUGAUAAACGAAUCAAUAUUUUGUGUCCCCAAAAAUGGCAUCAGAGUAAUAAAAACGUGCUUCCUUAUCAAGAUGCGCACGAAAGAAGUUACAACCAUGAGAUCAUACAGUGCGAAAAAGAAGUAAAGAAAUUGUGGAAUUAACAUGAAAAAAGGUGCCAAGUAUUUGAUCUUAUUAAUUUAUUAAGAUCCCCUAAUAAAUAUAAAAUUUUUAAGCUAUAUUUCAUAUGCUGAGGACAGUAUUUACAACCUUGAGAUCAAAACAAAAGAUCUUGAGAAUGGGCAUAAUGCCAAAAAUGAGCAGAUAAGUGGGAAACCCGUUGGAGGAGCAUUUCUCAUAUUACUGACUGGACUGGACUCGAUUGGACUGACCGACUGCCGAUAACUGAGAGCUCAAGCUGCGCCAUAUAAAUAAAGAGUUCUGCCCUCGACAUCCCCCUUUGUUCCCCUUUUGCUCGACAGAGAGAGAUAAGCCGCGAUCUCGAAGCCAUCCCAUCCCAUCCCAUCCAGCAGCUCCGGCGGACGCAGAGUGUGAGAAAGGGAGGGCAGGCGAGCGGACCCAUAUGCCGGCGGUACCAGUAAGUCCAGUGAGUCAGCGAGAGUGACUCGAGUGCGACAGAGAGGGCGACAAUCGAUCAAUUCGCUUUAAUUGCCAUUAGCAUGCCGAAUUGGAGUGGCUUUUUCGAGGGGUAACGUUGGAGGCGAAUCAAAUGGCGGCUGUGGGUCACUCUAUCCGUUACGCUUUUAUGACGGCCAACACUGAGAGCACUUUGGCUAUAUUCUCGGCUUAUUUUAUUUUUGGCAAUAUGUUCACUCGUAAAAUCUUAAUUACGCAGCCUUGUUCGAAGAAAAAACCGCCUAGUGGGAUGACAAACGAAUUCCGAUGACAGGCACACGCCUUUAGAACAGUGGUGGGAGUACUAUAAGUUUGACUUCAAAUUAGUUCAAUUCCCUUACUUCUAAUAAUAACAGAAGCAUAAAAACUAACCCUUACUUUCUUAUCGAUGCUUGAAUGCAAUAUGAUAUUAUGAAUAAUUCGUUGCAACGUGAUAUCUUGAGUGCAAUUUAAAACAUGGGAUUAGCUAAGUUGUUCAGCACAUAUGUAUACGGUGGUUUCCAUUCAGACCCCAGUCCACUGUGCCCUGCUUGGGGAGUUGUGCAAGCCGGAGCGGAGAACAGAACGGGACUGAAUCGAGUUGAACUGGGGAGAGGCGCAGAUACAAACUCUGAGAUACUCACGAACACCAGCAAACACUCACGUUCGCACAUGUGUGUGUGUGUGUGUGUUUGUGUGUGGCUGACAAAAAUUCAAGCGAACAAGUCGCCGCACACUCGAUGAGGUCAUCAAUCACAUGCAACAAAUGCGAGGGCGGAAAAAAAUGGGCUGGGGCAGGAAGCCAAUCCUUAAGCUUCUAUAUACCAGCUACUGCAUUCGCUAAGCAAACUGAAUCUCCCAAAUGGAAUUUUUGAAUAUAAACAAACAUUUCUUCUAGUGAAUUAAAAAAUAUAAACGAUUCGAACAUGAGUUCUCUAUUAGAAUGGAAUUGUAUUUAAGAACCAUUUACGCAGUUCAAUUUAUUUAUUUAAAUUUAUUUGUCGAUCCCAAAAGUGUUCAAGUCGCCUAAAAUAGCUUAUUCGUGGAUAUGCAGAUAGAAAUGUAUUUUAAGCUGCAUUUUAUACAAAAUAUAUGAAAAACAAUUGUAAGCUAAUAAAAAAGGAACUUUAAUUGCCAAUAACUAUGCAACGCUUUCUAGAAAUAUAUUGCUAGUUUUUUUAAAAAUGAUUUCAUAAAAUACUUUUGUUUAUUUUGGUUAGAUUGCUAAGAUUAUAAGCUCAUAAAUUAAGGAACAUCUACAAGGUAUAUAUAAUUGUAUAUUAUUAAUUGUGGGUACUAAACUGUCCAAGUUUAAGGUUGCAGAAAUGUUUCAGUUUUAAAGCAACAAAUAGCACAUAUUUUUUAGAUCUUAAAAAUUAUCUUUGUGUAUUGGAAUAACCCGGAAUCAUGUUGAAAUAUUUCUUAGAAACUUUGGCAUUUAGGAUUGAAAUAUAAAGGUAAACGACCAAAAUAAAUAUGAGUACUAAAACUUCUGCAAUUUUAAAUAAAUAUAGUUGGACAUUUUCUGUCGAAUAAUUGGGAAU